rnacentral:rRNA from 1 species
AGUGAACGCUGGCGGUAGGCCUAACACAUGCAAGUCGAACGGCAGCACAGUAAGAGCUUGCUCUUACGGGUGGCGAGUGGCGGACGGGUGAGGCAUACAUCGGAAUCUACUUUUUCGUGGGGGAUAACGUAGGGAAACUUACGCUAAUACCGCAUACGACCUACGGGUGAAAGCAGGGGAUCUUCGGACCUUGCGCGAUUGAAUUAGCCGAUGUCGGAUUAGCUAGUUGGCGGGGUAAAGGCCCACCAAGGCGACGAUCCGUAGCUGGUCUGAGAGGAUGAUCAGCCACACUGGAACUGAGACACGGUCCAGACUCCUACGGGAGGCAGCAGUGGGGAAUAUUGGACAAUGGGCGAAAGCCUGAUCCAGCCAUACCGCGUGAGUGAAGAAGGCCUUCGGGUUGUAAAGCCCUUUUGUUGGGAAAGAAAAGCAGCAGGUUAAUACCCCGCUGUUCUGACGGUACCCAAAGAAUAAGCACCGGCUAACUUCGUG